CUUGAGAAAGCCAGAGGUGACUGGUUCCCAGGGGCUGGAGUUAGGCAAUCCUAAUGUGAGGACUGAGACUCCAACUCCAGUGCCCUGGAAGAACAGCAAAUGCUCAGCUUAAUGGCAGAGUGGUAUCUCCAGCCCCUGGGGUCUCUUUUAAAAGGACACUCACAUCAUCCACAGAGUUGAAGCAUCACCCUCCAAGCUUCUAUUCCCGAUACUGAUGAUGACGGUUCACCAGAUGAGUUCAGAUUUCAAAGUGUCACUUUGGGGAAGAAGACACAGUGUUUCCUUUGGGAUGCCUCAUUGCUGCUGAAGACAUCACUACGUCAGAGACAAACUCGUCUUUGCAUUUUCUCAGCCUGCAGUCCACAGCGCUGCCUGCAUCAGUGCUGCUUGGUGGUGCUACUUAAGCCAUCUGCCAUCUGCAUUCAUCGUCUAUCAGAGGAAGCCAGGGGGGCCUGCCAAGACAAUGGUGUAGAACCGUAGUCCUAUGUUUCUCUCCAAGACAAAUUACAGCCUUGGGGAGAAAGUUCUGAAAACCUAGAAGAGGAAUUAAUUGGGAGUUCCAGGAAGAAAAGAACCAUUCUCUUCUAAGCAAUGGAUGAACAGUAUAGUAAAGGAGUUGUGAAAAAAAUGCAUCUCAAGGGUCCGAUCAUCCAUGAGACUGAAUCUACCCUAAUAAAAGACAAAGCCAAGCCUCAAAGUCAACUUAUUCAAAGCUCAUCUUUUCAAAAUGGCUACAGUUUGUAUUUUUCUGAAAACUGAAUUUA
ensembl:lncRNA LOC108349475 uncharacterized LOC108349475